rnacentral:hammerhead_ribozyme from 1 species
AUCCAACUGACGUGUCCCAAAUAGGAUGAAACACGUAUCAAACUGGAU